AUGGGCCUGGUACCAAGGACGUGGCUUGUGGCCUCAGAGCUCAUGCGUUCGUGCCCAGGAGCAGACGGGAACAAGGUUCCAGGCAGCAGGCAUGGGAAAAUGGGGGGAAAGUGUAUCCAUAAGCACGGAGUGUGCACACACGUGUGCGUAAGCAGAGACGCACACGCUCUCUCCCGUGCCCCCGGCGGGGUGGCCCGCUCUGCACACCUGUGCCCCCGCGCUGCUGGUGCAGGUGGACCGAACGUGUCUGCAAAGCUUGUCUCACAACAGGGGAAUCCCGCUUUCCCGAAGGGGAGCGUCACCGAGGCUGUGCCCAAGUGUUUGGAUGUACGUGUCUGUGUCCACCGAGCAUGAGAAGCCUGCCUGCCGUCCACAUCUGUGUCCACUGAAGACGCCAGGGGCACGCACGUCCAGACGUUGCCUCCCACAGGCCCUCGGCCCUGCCCCACUGGCUCCUGCCACAUUUCCUGACAGUGCCCCGUCCCGCGUGGCCGCCCUCCUUCCAGCCGUCAGUGCGUGGGGGCCACGCGGACGACAGCUGCCCUGAGCCCUCCCCUUAUGACUUCAUAAUGAAUAAAUUACAGGAAGGGCCGCCUAACA
rnacentral:lncRNA from 1 species